GAUGAACGCUGGCGGCGUGCCUAACACAUGCAAGUCGAGCGGUAUAUACUGGAACGAAACUUCGGUCUAGAGAAGGUAUAGAGAGCGGCGGACGGGUGAGUAACGCGUAGGCAACCUGCCCCAUACAGAGGGAUAGCCUCGGGAAACCGGGAUUAAAACCUCAUAAUACGAGAGCUUCACAUGUUGCACUCGUCAAAGAUUUAUCGGUAUGGGAUGGGCCUGCGUCUGAUUAGCUAGUUGGUGAGGUAACGGCUCACCAAGGCAACGAUCAGUAGCCGACCUGAGAGGGUAAUCGGCCACAUUGGAACUGAGACACGGUCCAAACUCCUACGGGAGGCAGCAGUGGGGAAUCUUGCACAAUGGGCGAAAGCCUGAUGCAGCAACGCCGCGUGAGCGAUGAAGGCCUUUGGGUCGUAAAGCUCUGUCCUUGGGGAAGAAAAAAAUGACGGUACCCUUGGAGAAAGCCCCGGCUAACUACGUACCAGCAGCCGCGGUGAAGUCGUACGA
rnacentral:rRNA from 1 species